rnacentral:misc_RNA from 1 species
UGCCCAAGUAAAAAAUCUGUUAACACAAUUAGAAGUUUUGACCAGCCAAGGAUGUAUUGAUGCAAGUGUUAUCAAAAGCUCUAAUUCCAGUGGAUAUCCAGGGUAUGUAGCCAUAAUUUUGUGGAGCUUCNNNNNNCAAAAUCUCAUUUUGUAUAUCUGUUGAAUUCAUCAAUAUGGUGUAUAUCUGUAAACCAGGAAGUCCAUCAGAAGGUCCACCUUCAUACACGUCGAUAAACCCACUUGUG